rnacentral:lncRNA from 1 species
GGGCGGGCGGCGAGCGAGGCGCUCAAAGUCAGCCUCGCAGACAUUGCAGCAGAGCCCCGAACUCGGGAGGCGGCGGCGGAGGAGGCGGCGGCGAGGCGCAGGGACGAUCCGGCCCCACGCCCGCCCGCCACCCGCGCGCGCCCGUCCGCCCGUGGCCUCGCGUCCGCCGCUGCGCCGGGAGCGCCGCUGGUCGGAGGGAAGAGCUCGCCGGGGUGCCGGGCCAGGACGGGGCGGCAGGCGCCUUCGCGGACCGAGCCUGACAGAGCCGGAGGCUGGGAGCCGCGGCGGCCUGGGGAAGUGUUUGGAUUGUGAGCUAUUUCAGAACUCUGUUCUCAGGACUCAUUAUUUUAACAUUUGGGAGAAACACGGCCAGAAGAUGCAUACUUGACUGAAGGAGGAUGGGGAAUCUGAAGACUCCGGAUGACAUCAGGGCUACUUUUCAACAGCCUUCUCAGUUUUCUUUCUCAGAAAGCAGAGGCUCAGAGCUUGGAGACAGACGGU